AUUGAACGCCGGCGGCAUGCCUUACACAUGCAAGUCGAACGGCAGCACGGGGGCAACCCUGGUGGCGAGUGGCGAACGGGUGAGUAAUGCAUCGGAACGUACCCGGAAGUGGGGGAUAACGUAGCGAAAGUUACGCUAAUACCGCAUAUUCUGUGAGCAGGAAAGUGGGGGACCGCAAGGCCUCACGCUUUCGGAGCGUCCGCUGUCGGAUUAGCUAGUUGGCGGGGUAAAGGCCCACCAAGGCGACGAUCCGUAGCGGGUCUGAGAGGAUGAUCCGCCACACUGGGACUGAGACACGGCCCAGACUCCUACGGGAGGCAGCAGUGGGGAAUUUUGGACAAUGGGCGCAAGCCUGAUCCAGCCAUGCCGCGUGAGUGAAGAAGGCCUUCGGGUUGUAAAGCUCUUUCGGCGGGGAAGAAAUUGCACUCGUUAAUACCGGGUGUAGAUGACGGUACCCGCAUAAGAAGCACCGGCUAACUACGUGCCAGCCGCCGCAGUAAAAC
rnacentral:rRNA from 1 species